CUUAAAGGAAUUGACGGGGACCCGCACAAGCGGUGGAUGAUGUGGAUUAAUUCGAUGCAACGCGAAAAACCUUACCUACCCUUGACAUGUCUAAGACCCCGAAGAGAUUUGGGGGUGCUCGAAAGAGAAUUGGAACACAGGUGCUGCAUGGCCGUCGUCAGCUCGUGUCGUGAGAUGUUGGGUUAAGUCCCGCAACGAGCGCAACCCUUGUCAUUAGUUGCUACGAAAGGGCACUCUAAUGAGACUGCCGGUGACAAACCGGAGGAAGGUGGGGAUGACGUCAGGUCCUCAUGGCCCUUAUGGGUAGGGCUUCACACGUCAUACAAUGGUCGGGACAGAGGGCAGCCAACCCGCGAGGGGGAGCCAAUCCCAGAAACCCGAUCGUAGUCCGGAUUGCAGUCUGCAACUCGACUGCAUGAAGUCGGAAUCGCUAGUAAUCGCGGAUCAGCAUGUCGCGGUGAAUACGUUCCCGGGUCUUGUACACACCGCCCGUCACACCAUGGGAGUGGGUUCUACCAGAAGUAGUUAGCCUAACCGCAAGGAGGGCGAUUACCACGGUAGGGUUCA
rnacentral:rRNA from 1 species